rnacentral:lncRNA from 1 species
UUGUACACAGUCCUUAGAUUCUUUAUUGUUUAGGCACUAUUGUAUAACAUGUUCCAUUGAUGUUUUUAGUUUGGACAUGUAUAUAUAUUGUUGCCAUUAGGCACUUAUGUUGGAUCAGUACCAAUUAUUAACACUUGUAUGAUAUUAUAGUUCCAUUGAUGUUUUUAGUUUGGACAUGUAUAUAUAUUGUUGCCAUUAGGCACUUAUGUUGGAUCAG